CGGGACGUGCCGCUACAAUGCCUCGGCCAGCGCCGCCUCCUGCUCCCGCUACGUGGAGCUGCCGGAGGGGGACGAGGCCGCGCUCCGGGACGCCGUGGCCACCGUGGGGCCCGUGGCCGUGGCCAUCGAUGCCACCCGGCCAACCUUCUUCCUGUACCACUCCGGGGUGUACGACGACCCCCAGUGCACGCAGGAGGUGAACCACGCGGUGCUGGUGGUGGGAUACGGAUCCCUGGAAAACAAGGAAUACUGGCUGGUGAAGAACAGGUGAAUGUCCAAGGGGGGUGGGGGGGAGAUCCCGGAAUAUUCCCAGCUGGAAGGGACCCACAGGGAUCAGAGUCCCCUCCCUCCCCCCCUCCUGUGUCCCUCAGGUGCUCCUUGACCCCUUGGAACACGGAAGGGGGGUUGGAAUGUUGAUCCAUAAUGUCCCUCCCAAUCCAAGCCGUUAUGGAAUUCCAUGAUUUUAUACUUGGAAUUGUCCAGAUCCGUGAUUCCAUUGACUCAUUCCACGAUUCCAUUGACUCAUUCCACGAUUCCAUUGGCUCAUCCCAUGAUUCCAAAACCCCAUUCCACGAUUCCAUAACCCCAUUCCACGAUUCCAUAACCCCAUUCCAUGAUUCCAUAACCCAUUCCACAAUUCCAUAACCCUCUUCCACAAUUCCAUUGACUCAUCCCAUGAUUCCAUAACCCAUUCCAUGAUUCCAUAACCCAUUCCAUGAUUCCAUUGACUCAUCCCACAAUUCCAUUGGCUCAUUCCAUGAUUCCAUUGACUCAUCCCACGAUUCCAUUGUCUCAUUCCACGAUUCCAUAACCCCAUUCCACGAUUCCAUAACCCCAUUCCAGGAUUCCAUAACCCCAUUCCAUGAUUCCAUUGGCUCAUCCCACAAUUCCAUAACCCCCUUCCAUGAUUCCCGGGAGCGGGAACCCCACGGAUCCAUCUACUCCGCCCCCCCUCCGGUAUCCGGAUGUCGGUGAAUCCGCCCGGGAAAAGCCGGAAUUGAGGUUUUUUCCGUGUGUUUCUUCCCUGUUUUCCCGGAGCUGGGGGGGUCUGGUUUGGAGACUCGGGAUACAUCCGGAUGGCCCGGAACGCUUCCAACCGCUGCGGCAUCGCCAGCUACGCCUCCUAUCCCGUCAUUUAGCCGGAUCCCAACGCUCCUUCCAGGGAAUUCUUCCGCUUCCAGAGGCGCUUUCCGGCUCUGUGGAUUGGAAACAGGGAUUGGACACAGGGAUAACAGGGAUUGGAAACAGGGAUAACAGGGGUUGGAAACAGGGAUUGGAAACAGGGAUAACAGGGAUUGGAGGCAGGGAUAACAGGGGUUGGACACAGGAAUAAUAGGGAUUGGAAAACAGGGAGAACAGGGGUUGAAAACAGGGAUUGGAAACAGAGAUAACAGGGAUUGGGACACAGGGAUAAUAGGGAUUGGACACAGGGAUAACAGGGAUUGGAAGCAAGGAUAACAGGGAUGGGACACAGGGACUGGAAACAGGGAUAACAGGGAUUAGACGUAGGGAUGGGACACAGGGAUCACAGGAAUCUCAGGGAUCGUGGGAUCCUCCCUCUGGAUGAGCACGGAGCUGCUGCAAUGCUGGGGGAGUCGACUCCUCUCCGUGUGAUGCCGCUGGAAUUGCGGAUAUUCCUUGGAAAAUAAAAGGUCGCAUUCGCUGUCUGGAAAUA